CCUACGGGGGACAGCAGUAGGGAAUAUUUCUCAAUGGGGGAAACCCUGAUGCAGCAACGCCGCGUGGAGGAUGAAGGUUUUCGGGUUGUAAACUCCUUUUGUUAGAGAAGAAAAUUACGAAAUUUAACGAAUAAGCACCGGCUAACGCCGUGCCUGCAGCCGCGGUAAUACGAAGGGUGCAAGCUUUAGCCGGAAUCACUGGGCGUAAAGGGCGCGUAGGCGGGAUAGCAAGUCAGAUGUGAAAUCCUAUGGCUUAAUCCUAGAACUGCAUUUGAAACUGUUAUUCUAGAGUAUGGGAGAGGUAGGUGGAAUUCUUGGUGUAGCGGUAAAAUCCGUAGAGAUCAAGAGGAAUACUCAUUGCGAAGGCGACCUGCUAGAACAUAACUGACGCUGAGGCACGAAGGCGUGGGGAGCAAACAGGAUUAGAUACCCGAGUAGUC
rnacentral:rRNA from 1 species